AAAAGAAACCAACAGGGAUUGCCCCAGUAACGGCGAGUGAAGCGGCAACAGCUCAAAUUUGAAAUCUGGCCCCCAGGGCCCGAGUUGUAAUUUGCAGAGGAUGCUUUUGGCGCGGUGCCUUCCGAGUUCCCUGGAACGGGACGCCAUAGAGGGUGAGAGCCCCGUCUGGUCGGACGCCUAGCCUGUGUAAAGCUCCUUCGACGAGUCGAGUAGUUUGGGAAUGCUGCUCUAAAUGGGAGGUAUAUGUCUUCUAAAGCUAAAUACCGGCCAGAGACCGAUAGCGCACAAGUAGAGUGAUCGAAAGAUGAAAAGCACUUUGAAAAGAGGGUUAAAUAGUACGUGAAAUUGUUGAAAGGGAAGCGCUUGUGACCAGACUUGGGCCCGGUGGAUCAUCCAGCGUUCUCGCUGGUGCACUCCGCCGGGUUCAGGCCAGCAUCAGUUCGCCGCGGGGGAAAAAGGCUUCGGGAACGUGGCUCCUACGGGAGUGUUAUAGCCCGUUGCAUAAUACCCUGGGGCGGACUGAGGUUCGCGCUCCGCAAGGAUGCUGGCGUAAUGGUCAUCA
rnacentral:rRNA from 1 species